GCCACGCCCGCUCAAGAAACUCGAAAGGAAGUUGGCGGGGCCCGCACAAGCGGUGGAGUAUGUGGUUUAAUUCGAUGCAACGCGAAGAACCUUACCUGGUCUUGACAUCCCGGAGACCCUUAGGAAACUAGGGGGUGCUUCCAUCUGGAAGAAUCUGGAGACAGGUGCUGCAUGGCUGUCGUCAGCUCGUGUCGUGAGAUGUUGGGUUAAGUCCCGCAACGAGCGCAACCCUUGCCUUUAGUUGCCAGCAGUUCGGCUGGGCACUCUAAAGGGACUGCCGGUGUUAAACCGGAGGAAGGUGGGGAUGACGUCAAGUCCUCAUGGCCUUUAUGACCAGGGCUACACACGUACUACAAUGGCCGAUACAAAGGGCAGCGACACUGCGAGGUGAAGCCAAUCCCGUAAAAUCGGUCUCAGUCCGGAUUGGAGUCUGCAACUCGACUCCAUGAAGUUGGAAUCGCUAGUAAUCGUGGAUCAGCAUGCCACGGUGAAUACGUUCCCGGGCCUU
rnacentral:rRNA from 1 species